CCUACGGGAGGCAGCAGUGGGGAAUUUUGGACAAUGGGCGAAAGCCUGAUCCAGCAAUGCCGCGUGAGUGAAGAAGGCCUUCGGGUUGUAAAGCUCUUUUGUCAGGGAAGAAACGGCGAGAGCUAAUAUCUCUUGCUAAUGACGGUACCUGAAGAAUAAGCACCGGCUAACUACGUGCCAGCAGCCGCGGUAAUACGUAGGGUGCAAGCGUUAAUCGGAAUUACUGGGCGUAAAGCGUGCGCAGGCGGUUUUGUAAGUCUGAUGUGAAAUCCCCGGGCUCAACCUGGGAAUUGCAUUGGAGACUGCAAGGCUAGAAUCUGGCAGAGGGGGGUAGAAUUCCACGUGUAGCAGUGAAAUGCGUAGAUAUGUGGAGGAACACCGAUGGCGAAGGCAGCCCCCUGGGUCAAGAUUGACGCUCAUGCACGAAAGCGUGGGGAGCAAACAGGAUUAGAUACCCUGGUAGUCCACGCCCUAAACGAUGUCUACUAGUUGUCGGGUCUUAAUUGACUUGGUAACGCAGCUAACGCGUGAAGUAGACCGCCUGGGGAGUACGGUCGCAAGAUUAAAACUCAAAUGAAUUGACGG
rnacentral:rRNA from 1 species